rnacentral:rRNA from 1 species
GCUCCCGGAUGUUAGCGGCGGACGGGUGAGUAACACGUGGGUAACCUGCCUGUAAGACUGGGAUAACUCCGGGAAACCGGAGCUAAUACCGGAUAGUUCCUUGAACCGCAUGGUUCAAGGAUGAAAGACGGUUUCGGCUGUCACUUACAGAUGGACCCGCGGCGCAUUAGCUAGUUGGUGGGGUAAUGGCUCACCAAGGCGACGAUGCGUAGCCGACCUGAGAGGGUGAUCGGCCACACUGGGACUGAGACACGGCCCAGACUCCUACGGGAGGCAGCAGUAGGGAAUCUUCCGCAAUGGACGAAAGUCUGACGGAGCAACGCCGCGUGAGUGAUGAAGGUUUUCGGAUCGUAAAGCUCUGUUGUUAGGGAAGAACAAGUGCGAGAGUAACUGCUCGCACCUUGACGGUACCUAACCAGAAAGCCACGGCUAACUACGUGCCAGCAGCCGCGGUAAUACGUAGGUGGCAAGCGUUGUCCGGAAUUAUUGGGCGUAAAGGGCUCGCAGGCGGUUUCUUAAGUCUGAUGUGAAAGCCCCCGGCUCAACCGGGGAGGGUCAUUGGAAACUGGGAAACUUGAGUGCAGAAGAGGAGAGUGGAAUUCCACGUGUAACGGUUAAAUGCGUAAGAUUGGAGAACACCAGUGG